CCCUUAGAUGUCCGGGGCUGCACGCGCGCUACACUGAAGGAAUCAGCGUGCUAAAACCAUUGUCGAAAGGCAUUGGUAAACCCAUUAAAAUCCUACGUGAUUGGGAUCGGGAAUUGCAAUUAUUUCCCUUGAACGAGGAAUUCCCAGUAAGUGUGGGUCAUAAGCUCGCGUUGACUACGUCCCUGCCCUUUGUACACACCGCCCGUCGCUGCCCGGGACUGAGCCGUUUCGAGAAAAGCGGGGACUGCUGCUGUCGGGGCUUUCGGGCCUUGGCUUCGGUGGAAACCGCUUUAAUCGCAGUGGCUUGAACCGGGCAAAANUCGUANCA
rnacentral:rRNA from 1 species